rnacentral:rRNA from 1 species
UACGAAGGGGGCUAGCGUUGUUCGGAAUCACUGGGCGUAAAGGGCGCGUAGGCGGCUUUAUAAGUCGGGGGUGAAAGCCUGUGGCUCAACCACAGAAUUGCCUUCGAUACUGUAGAGCUUGAGUCCGGAAGAGGUAAGUGGAACUGCGAGUGUAGAGGUGAAAUUCGUAGAUAUUCGCAAGAACACCAGUGGCGAAGGCGGCUUACUGGUCCGGUUCUGACUCUGAGGCGCGAAAGCGUGGGGAGCAAACAGG